rnacentral:lncRNA from 1 species
CAGAAGCAGCAGCAACAGCAGCGCCAGCAGCAGCAGCAGCAGCAGCAGCAACAGCAGCAGCUGGUGGCUGCCUCCGUCAAUCCCUUCUCCACGAACCCCCCACCGUGGGGCUCCUCGCACCAGCCCCAGCAGCACAUGACCGACCACUUCCCCUUCGUCAUCCCCGACCCGGCUACCACCUUCGCCGAUCCCUUCGCCCCCGAUCCCGUCGCCGGCUUCGCCGCGCCCCCUGGUG